CGUGGGUAACCUGCCCAAGAGAUCGGGAUAACACCUGGAAACAGAUGCUAAUACCGGAUAACAACAGAUGAUGCCUAUCAACUGUUUAAAAGAUGGUUCUGCUAUCACUCUUGGAUGGACCUGCGGUGCAUUAGCUAGUUGGUAGGGUAACGGCCUACCAAGGCGAUGAUGCAUAGCCGAGUUGAGAGACUGAUCGGCCACAUUGGGACUGAGACACGGCCCAAACUCCUACGGGAGGCAGCAAC
rnacentral:rRNA from 1 species